rnacentral:rRNA from 1 species
CAGCAGCCGCGGGAAUACGGAGGGCGCGAGCGUUACCCGGAUUUACUGGGCGUAAAGGGCGUGUAGGCGGCCUGGGGCGUCCCAUGUGAAAGGCCACGGCUCAACCGUGGAGGAGCGUGGGAUACGCUCAGGCUAGAGGGUGGGAGAGGGUGGUGGAAUUCCCGGAGUAGCGGUGAAAUGCGCAGAUACCGGGAGGAACGCCGAUGGCGAAGGCAGCCACCUGGUCCACUUCUGACGCUGAGGCGCGAAAGCGUGGGGAGCAAACCGGAUUAGAUACCCCGGUAGUCCCUGUCUCUUAUAU